rnacentral:lncRNA from 1 species
UGGAGCCCACCUCGGUACGCCUCCACCACGACGCGCUCCUUUGUACGGUUUCUCACCCAGGAACGUCGUAUACACUGGAACAAGCCAUCUCCCAGCGGUGCACCAUGUACACGACAUGCAUCAAAAUACGCGCCUCGAGAUUACCCGUUCGAUGUGCCUUGAAAUCCUUCGGGACCGUCUGAUGAGUUGUCGUUUCGUACUGCUGGUCCACUGUGGAGGUGUGGCGGGGCCGUUUCGGUUGGCCGUCUCAUCAGAGCAGACGCUUCUAUUUACCGAGCCGGAUUCCCAGAUCAGAAUCCAAAUGGGAACCGCGAUGUGCAUCGCCCCCUUCUUUGGUCGGUGGUCCCGCCCAAGUCCAGCGGCCGCACACGGAAUGCCAGAUCGCCAGUCCGUCCCCACCGGGCCAGCCAUGCUCCCAGGCGCUCCAAAAUAAAUAUUCCACCCCGAGGCCUCAUCCAUCAUCAUAAUUGUUACCCCUCCCGACUGCAAUAAUUUUAAUUUUUUUUCUUGUUGGACCCUGGCUGCAAGAAUUCAUACCUCUACCUCUCCUCUUCAACUCAAGCCUGUCCCCUCCCGCUUCUGUCCCUGGAAACCAGUGUUUCACAGGGGUAUAAACCAGCGAAUCCCCAAAAGAACUCCAGCCUUCUCUUCCUCUCCUUCGCCUUGUAUCUCUCUCUCUCUC